rnacentral:rRNA from 1 species
UACGUAGGGGGCGAGCGUUGUCCGGAUUUAUUGGGCGUAAAGAGCGUGUAGGCGGCCAGGUAGGUCUGCUGUGAAAACUCGAGGCUCAACCUCGAGACGUCGGCGGAAACCAUCUGGCUAGAGUCCGGAAGAGGAGAGUGGAAUUCCUGGUGUAGCGGUGAAAUGCGCAGAUAUCAGGAGGAACACCGGUGGCGAAGGCGGUUCUCUGGGCAUUACCUGACGCUGAGGAGCGAAAGCGUGGGGAGCGAACAGG